CCUACGGGAGGCAGCAGUGAGGAAUAUUGGUCAAUGGACGAGAGUCUGAACCAGCCAAGUAGCGUGAAGGAUGACUGCCCUAUGGGUUGUAAACUUCUUUUAUAUGGGAAUAAAAUGUUCCACGUGUGGGAUUUUGUAUGUACCAUAUGAAUAAGGAUCGGCUAACUCCGUGCCAGCAGCCGCGGUAAUACGGAGGUUACGAGCGUUAUCCGGAUUUAUUGGGGUUAAAGGGAGCGUAGGUGGAUUGUUAAGUCAGUUGUGAAAGUUUGCGGCUAAACCGUAAAAUUGCAGUUGAAACUGGCAGUCUUGAGUACAGUAGAGGUGGGCGGAAUUCGUGGUGUAGCGGUGAAAUGCUUAGAUAUCACGAAGAACUCCGAUUGCGAAGGCAGUUCACUGGACUGCAACUGACACUGAGGCUCGAAAGUGUGGGUAUCAAACAGGAUUAGAUACCCCUGUAGUC
rnacentral:rRNA from 1 species